UUCCAUCUCUAGGUCUCUCAACUAAUACGUAUACAUGCACCCCAUUUACAAAAAUUGUAAUUAAAGUCAAAAUCUGUUACCCUUAAUAUUGAUUUUGGCUUGAACACUGCAUAUGUAGAUAGAGAGAAAAAAUACUUUUUAAAUAACAUCUAUACCACUCUUGUUCUGUUCCAGUACCUUUCUCAUACUGCAAGCAAUGCAUUCAAAUCCAUACUAGAAAUUGAUUUUUGCAAGAAUAAAAUUCAUCAAACGGUAUAAAAUUGAUUAUUAUGCCAUUAAUAAAAUGAUUCUUAAUGCGUGCACAAAAAGAGAGAGAUUUCAAUAGAAAAGUUGUAGCUGUAAUGGCUCAUUCAUUAACUGAUGAAACAGUAGCAUUAAUUCUUUGACAAGAUACCUUGUACUCGCCAGCUGCACUAGUAGUAAGAGACAUGGAAGCCUUCAGCUUAAUAAUCUUGCUACUAGCUCUUUGAUGGUGAAGUUGGCUUGACUUGACCUUUUUUCCCAUGAACUCUCCAUUAGCAAACUGCAAAAGUUUUGAGUUCCUCCCAGCUAGUCCAACCGCCCCAUGCAGCUGCCCGGCAGCGGAGAGGGAGAACCGGCAAUGGUAAUCUGCCAAUACUGCCAUUUUCUUGGAAAAUUAGAAUGUGAAACAAAUAAGAUCUUGCAUGUAUAUUAAUUAGCGAGGGAGAGUGGAGAAGUGCAAAUUUUUGCAGAGACGGAG
rnacentral:misc_RNA from 1 species